AGUGAACGCUGGCGGCAGGCCUAACACAUGCAAGUCGAGCGGCAGCGCGGGGGCAACCCUGGCGGCGAGCGGCGGACGGGUGAGGAAUUCGUCGGAAUCUGCCUCCUUGUGGGGGAUAACGUAGGGAAACUUACGCUAAUACCGCAUACGUCCUACGGGUGAAAGAGGGGGACCGCAAGGCCUCACGCAGAAAGAUGAGCCGACGACCGAUUAGCUAGUUGGUGGGGUAAAGGCCCACCAAGGCGACGAUCGGUAGCUGGUCUGAGAGGAUGAUCAGCCACACUGGGACUGAGACACGGCCCAGACUCCUACGGGAGGCAGCAGUGGGGAAUAUUGGACAAUGGGCGCAAGCCUGAUCCAGCCAUGCCGCGUGUGUGAAGAAGGCCUUCGGGUUGGAAAGCACUUUUGUCCGGAAAGAAAUCCCUGGAGCUAAUACCUUCGGGGGAUGACGGUACCGGAAGAAUAAGCACCGGCUAACUUCGUG
rnacentral:rRNA from 1 species